UACGUAGGGUGCAAGCGUUGUCCGGAAUUAUUGGGCGUAAAGAGCUCGUAGGCGGUUUGUCGCGUCGAAUGUGAAAACCCGGGGCUCAACCCCGGGCCUGCAUUCGAUACGGGCAGGCUAGAGUUCGGUAGGGGAGUCUGGAAUUCCUGGUGUAGCGGUGAAAUGCGCAGAUAUCAGGAGGAACACCGGUGGCGAAGGCGGGGCUCUGGGCCGAUACUGACGCUGAGGAGCGAAAGCGUGGGGAGCAAACAGG
rnacentral:rRNA from 1 species